UGGGUAACUCGUUGGAAAAUGGUAGAUGCU
rnacentral:piRNA from 1 species